GACACUUUAGCCAAGUGGUUACGGCGACAGAUUCGAACGGCCGCGGAGUUUGAAAUUCCGGCAUCUUCCGGCCCGAAUAUCUGUUUCCCUCUGGGAGCGCAGGUUCAAAUCCUGCAGGUGUCG
rfam:Stereum hirsutum FP-91666 SS1 unplaced genomic scaffold STEHIscaffold_3, whole genome shotgun sequence.